UGGGGAAUAUUGGGCGAAUGGGCGAAAGCCUGACCCAGCGACGCCGCGUGAAGGAAGAAGGUCUUCGGAUUGUAAACUUUAGUAAGCAGGGAAGAAGAAAGUGACGGUACCUGCAGAGUAAGCCACGGCUAACUACGUGCC
rnacentral:rRNA from 1 species